GUUCUGUGCAGGCUACUCUGGAGGUACAGUGUCCCUGUGCAAGCUAGUCUGGAGGUACACUGUUCUGUGCAAGCUACUCUGGAGGUACACUGUUCUGUGCAGGCUACUCUGGAGGUACAGUGUCCCUGUGCAGGCUACUCUGGAGGCCGUUAACGCCAGCAAAACCUGCAGCUGCUGUAAAGCCAACCGGUCAGAAACUUCAGUAAACCUCCAUGCCUGAACACUCAGGCACCAAUGCACUGUAUGUGUGCCAUACAACCUGAGUAAGAACAAUGACCACAAUAAUAGUGUUUUAUGGCCAGCAGUGUUCAGUCAUAAGCUGUACGAAUUACACGGAUGAUUCCACAACACACAAAACAUCAGAACAAGUAAAGGUUUUUUCCUCCCAUCUGAACCAAAACUUGGAACCAAACUAUUAAAAAUAUACAUUUUAUUAACAUUUACCUUUACAGCUUGACCCACAAGCACUAGUCAGUACCAGAUGAACAGACAGAACCAGAACCAUAAAGAAAAGCACAGAAACAUUGUUGGGGGUGGGGGGGGUUGGGUUUGGGUGAGAAAUAGGGAGCCCCUCAGGAGCGAAGCUGGUCCAGGGGGUCCCGACUGCGGUUGGACAGGUGCGCCUCUAGAAUCUGCCCAAAAAUAUCCCUCUUCAGCAGACUGUAGGCCAGUGGCAGGAGCUGCUUUACCACCUUA